UCAAAGUAAAUAAACUUAAAAAAUAAAAUACUUCUGCAGCUGUCUUGGUGUUUACACCUUGAUGUUAGAUACAAUGAUGUGUUUUCAUAACAUACUUGUCCUGCUGGGCAGUCUUCAAAAUUUCCCCAAGUGCUGAAAAUUAAGGAAAUGUCAGUUGUAGAGUUCCUUAGAAUUUCCCUUGACCCUAAAUUCUUUGAGAAAUCCCAUCCUUUGCAGACUUUGCAGCAGUAAAGCAAAGUACCAAGGUCUACCAAGAGACGUUGCCUUACUGCUGCACCUCAGACACAUUCAGCAGCUGCCUAUAUGUAGUAAACAGAUAAGAAUCCAACAUCAUGGAGUUUAUUUUUCUAUGUGAGGAGACAAACUUUUUAAAUAGACAUAUAAUUUCAAAUAGUGGUAUUAGAGAUGCCUGACUGACUGGCUGAGUUGGUACAGCAUGCGACUCUUGAUCUUGGGGUUGAGUUCAAACCUCACGUUGGGUUUAUUUUUUAAAAAUUAGUAACGGUAAAAUAUCAGUCAUAUGGCAAUUGCCACACCCUCUGUGUGCAUUAUCUUAUUCAUAACACCGAAGUAAGUUAUAGAUGAGGAAACUAAGGCAGAGAUCUUGCUGUUAACCACCACACUUUACUUUCUAAGUCAAACGGUUUUAUCCUUUGGAAGAAAAUGUAGGGUCUUUCAAGAUUUGAAUGACAACAGGGGCGCCUGGGUGGCUCAGUCAGUUAAGCAUCUGACUUUGGCCCAGGUCAUGAUCUCACAGUUUGUGAGUUCAAGCCCGGCGUCAGGCUCUGUGCUGGCAGCCUGGAGCCUGCUUCGCAUUCUGUCUCCCUCUCUCUCUGCACCUCCCCAGCUCAUGCUCGCACUCUGUGUCUGUCAAAAAUAAAUAAACUUAGGGGUGCCUGGGUGGCUCAGUCAGUUAAGCGUCUGACUUUGGCUCAGGAGGUCAUGAUCUCAUGGCUUGUGAGUUCGAGCCCUGCAUCGGGAUCUGGGCUGUUUCAGAUUCUGUGUCUCCCUCUCUCUGCCCCCCCCCCCCCCCGUUCACACUCUGUCUCUGUCUCUCUCAAAAAUAAAUAAACAUUAAAAAAAAUUUUUUUUAAAAACUUAAAAGAUUUGAAUGGUAUCUUGUUUUCUGAAAUACAGGUCAAGAGAGCAUUUCCCCAUAUUUUUUUAUGUAUGAUCAACAUAUUAAGUUUCAAAAAAAUAAACUGAAUUUUUGGGGCACCUGGGUAGCUCAGUUGGUUGAGUGUCCAACUUCAGCUCAGGUCGCGAUCUCAUGGCUUGUGAGUUUGAGCCCUGCAUCGGGCUCUCUGCUGUCAGCACAGAUCCCACUUCAGAUCCUCUGUCUCCCUCUCUCUCUGUCCCUCCCUCACUCACACUCUCUCAAAAAUAAACAUUUUUUUAAAAAAAUUGAGUUUCAUGAGGAUCUGAGAUAUAAAUAGAUGCCUAAAUUUGGUAACUAUUAAGUCAGAUGGAUGGAAAUAGAUGUAGGAAAGAAGUGUCAUUUGAUUAUUACCAUACACAACACCUGCAGUUUUCCAUUAAUUCUGAAGGAGUUCCCACAUCUUUCAGAAAUUGGCUGUAAUUAAGCUGACUGUUCCUUGGUUUCAUCUUGUCUAUAGCUUUGGGAAAACAGUGAUUCGAAACAAACUUGACCGUUUAUGUGGAAAAUUGACUUAGAUAAUCCAUUAGAAGAUAAAGUGAGUGGUUCUAUCAUGAGGCAUACUAAGAACACAAAUUUAAUUCUGAACAUAUAUAUGUGUUGGCAUCGUGUUGCUUUUGGCCUGCAGGAUUGAAGGAGGAGGGAGCUUGCCCACCUGAACACUUGAAAAAGAAAAUGUUUUACAUGUGGAUAAAAGGAAGACUGUCUGGCCACACUCAGAGGUAUCAUUCCCUGCUGUACAAGCAUGGUCGGAAGCAAUGUGGGUCUGCACAUAUAGCAAACGUCUGCAUAAGUAGAGAAAGUGAAAUGUGAAGUUGAUAUGUUUCUGACCAGGCUGCUAAUCCCCCUCUCCAUUUUUCAGAGGUGUUGAGUGAUUUUCCCAAGAUCACUCAGCAAGGAUGAGCUAGAACAUGGAAUCAGACUCCGGUCCUCUAACUCCAAAUCCGUACGUGUGUGACCAUAGGGUGCGGUGGGGAGAGGCAGAGAAAUUUUUACUUAUGCUGUGGUACUUGUAAAGUUUUGUAGUGUCUUCAAGACAAAGAAAGGGAUAUCUCCAUCCCCAUUUGGAUGUUUGCUUAACCACCAAGCUUGGUGAUCUAUCCCAGCGCUAUAAAUUUGGAGCUCCUGACCACACCACCAGAGGAGGAAGCACACGGAAGAGGUGUGUGUAAAGAGAGCUGGAUCGACAGGUCUAGUCUACCCUGGAGGGGCGUGAGUAUUUUUAAAUUAAAUUAUGAGACUGAUGUUUUAAAUGAGUAGGACUAAAUCUCAGUACCUGGAAUUAAGAAUCUAAUAAACAGGGAGGCUGCUAUCCCAAAACAAUGAAGUUCAGCAAAGUACCAAGAAUAGAAAAUAUGACACUUUCAGGGACAUGCCUCUUGAGUUGAGAUUCUCAAACUGGUUACACAGUUUUGUCUCCCCUAGUAUCUUUAGACAGGGAUUGUUUCUUACUCACCUUUCAAGCUUUGGUGUCUAGUGUACAAUAUAGUGCAUGGGACAUAUAAUGUGUGUGGGUAAGUGAGUGAAUGCAUCCAAACUGUAAGAACUACGUAACUUAAUUCUCCUUUAGUCCACAGGCCCCUUCAGAGAGAUUAGGAAUUAAGGUUAUUUCUGUAAAAUCUCUACAAUUUCCACCCCACAGAGAGAACUUUCAGUCCACUUUUACUUCUUUUUCUAAUCAGCUCUCCUUCUCUCUCAAUAAACAUAUACAUAAUUCCUCUAGGAAAAGUACGUUUUUCCCCUUAAAUGUUAUGUGACUUUGAUCCACAUUACUGAAAGGCUCUCACAGGCUCUAGAGACCCUUCCCUUUCUUUUAGGAAUCUACAUGUUCUGUCCCCAGCACUCCACUCCAUUUCCUCUGCCACCAUCCCCUCCCGCUUCUCCAUAAAUACCCUCCUAACUCUGGCCUUACCAUGUACCAGCUCUGUCCAUGUCUGAAGCCACUUUCCCACUUCAGCAUCACUUUGGGGAAUCAGGGAGAGAGGAAUGGAAGACAAUAUUUCCUAUCUCUUGCCUCAAAUAUCUAUACAAGUGGGGACAGGAAGGUGAAAAGAUAAACAGGGCCAGAGUCUUGUUCUUUUUUAUUCUUAGCCUCUUGUGAAACCAUCUUCCACCAAACAUUUCCGUAGCAUAGACAUGCUUCAUUACAGCUUCUUUGUUCUCCCCAGCAAUCCUACACUUUUUCCUGAUACCUCCAACAUUUCUUUUCUUGUCUUUGGAUAGCUUGCCAGAAGUACUUUUGUCUGACAUCAAUCUGUGUGUGUGUGUGUGUGUGUGUAUCAGAUUUGUAUGAAAUUUUACAUUAUUUGUCCUUUCUAAAAAUCCAGAUCUUUACCUUUUUUUAGCCCUAAAAAAAGUCAAAUUGAGUCAAUUCUGGUAUUUUGGCUAUGCCAUAUCAGGGCAUAAGCAGUUACAGAGAAACUGAAAAAGUUAGAAAAGAAUCUGGUCACUGCCCUGUUUUCUGGUUAGGGAGGAGCAGACUUUGGAGAAGGGCAGCCAAGCAUGCUUUGUAACAAGCCGAAAAUAUGCCCUUGAAAGCUGAGGCCUAAACUGUGCCCGUAAGAUGGUAAACAAGCUUGACUGUGGCUUUGGCUUCUUCACAGUAAGGAAUAAUUCUUUCACAUUCUUCUACAUACUUAAACAGAAAUAGAUCAUAAAGAGCCAGGAGACAUUCUAAAGAAUUGAAGCAAAUGGAAGAAUUUAAUAAAUAGAAAAGAACUAAACAAAUGAAGUAAAAAAAUAAGCAGCAAAAAUAUAUUUUUUUAAAGCUAAAAACAUUUUAGAAAGUGUCAAAGAAAUAAUUACCAAGCCCCAGGUGGCUGGGACAAAUGACUUGCAAUCAGAGGCCAGAAUACAAAACAUAAUACAAAACAUAAUUAUUCAUUAACUCGCAGGGUAGCCUCUGCUACAUGUUACUUCACCAACUGAAGUGUGUGCUAAGGACAGUGAAUUCUACACUUAAAUAUCUAAUAAUUCGAGAGAGUCAUUCCUGUCCCAUAUUGCAAAAAAAAAAAAAAAAAAGUGGUAUGAGGAAAAGUGGUUAAAUGGAAUCAAGACGAGUCCUAGAAUCUAAUAUAUUUGAACUGGGCUGGGCAGCAGGCUACUCACUGACCUAGUGGCUGAAUACAGUAGUUCUGGUGACAAAGGAAAAGCUCUGAGGCAGCCCGGGAUUUUAUGCCCUCACUGCUUUUUCUGAUGAUGGGCUCACACCAUUUCUUUUCCAUAAGUAAAGCAUCAGAUUGUUUACUCACUCCACCCUCUGGCCAAGAAGUACAAGUUCACGAUGGGAACCAUACUCCAGGCUGUUACUUAUCAGGAUGUGAAAUGAGAAAGAAAAUAUGCAACUGAUAAAGCUUAGAGACAGAAUCAGGAAGGAAGAAAAAUAAAUUUGAAAACAGAUCGUUUAGCAGUUGCUGUUAGAAACAAAUUCCAGCCACCCCAAAGCCAUUGGCUGAGUACCCCCACCCCCAGGAUUCCUCAUGCCCACUGGCCUGCUCUGCCCACAGGACCCUGGGCUGGCUGUGGAGGGGCUGCCAACAGUGGCCCUGACCUUCCUUGCUAGAGCACACCUCUUUGCGGGGUUGCUCCUUCCAAGCAUAUGCGUGUGUUUGUAUGGAACAGUUACUUGCCAUGUUGGGGCAGUUUUAGGAAUUGCUUCUAAUUAAAAAAAAAAAAAAAGAAAGAAAAAAAUUCUAGAUUAAAAAUAAAGUUUCUAUCUGAAUUCAGUUCUCUUGACAUGGAAUUUUUUUUAUUAAAUUCUUUUGCAAUUUUUUUAAGGUUUUUUUUUUUUGUUUGUUUUUAAGUAAUCUCUACACCCACUGUGAGGCUCAAACCCAUGACCCCAAGAUCAAGAGUCAUAAACUCUCUUCAGACAGCCAGGUGCCCCUGGAACUUUUUAAUGGUAGGUAGAGUUCAGUACCAGUAAAGGACAUUUAUCAUACUUUCUGUCUACCCAGCAUAUCUUUGAUGUAAUUCCAGUAUCUGGGGGAAUUUCCCACCUUGUGGGUCCACCUCCCCAGGAUAGAAAGCUGGAACUUGCUUUUCCAGGCCCCCUUGCAGCUAGGGCCCACAGAUGUGACACAGACAUCCAUUUGAAAAAAGUGAUGGGAAAAGCAAGGCAUCUCAUGGAAUACAUUUUGUGCAAGGGAAGAGGUGUGAGGCCAAGAUAUAUGCAGCUUUCACAGGUAGUGGGGACAGAAGUUCUGGCGUGUAACCCCACAAUAGUGAUGACUGUCUCCAAUGGAAACUACAUCAUUCCUGGUUCUAUAGCUUCCAAGCUUGAUUCUCUACUUCCAGAUUUUUUCCUUUGAAAAAGGAUCCUUUUCUGUUUAACUAGGGUGGAUUUUGUUUCAAACAGCGUGUAUUUAUUGAGUGCAAUCUAUGUUCUAGGAACUGGCUUUUAGCAAUGCAAUAAAACAGGAACAGAUUCUUAUCCUAACAAAACUCACACUCUGGUAGGGGAGACAGAUGAUAAAGUAAAUAUAUGAUAAUGCUAUAUACCAUAUGAUAAGCGCCACAAGACAAGAAGUGCCAUAGAGAAAAGUAAAGCAGGUAAGGAGGAGAAAUGCCAGGGGUGAGGUGUAGCACAUUUAAAUAGGGCCGUCAGGAAAGCUCUGACCAAGAUGACAUUUGAAUAAAGAUCUGAAGGAUGUAAAGGAAGAAAUCAAAUGGGUAUCUAGGUCCGCAUUCUAAGUAGAAGGGACACAAAGAGUACGUGUGCCCGUGAGCAGCAGUGUACUUGGCACAUUCCAGGAAGAGCAAGGAAACCAGUGUGGCUGGAACACUGAACACGGGGAAAAGUAGUAGCAGCUGAGGACCAAGAGGAGAGUGAUCCAAUAGGUGCUGGCAGGUUACCGCAGGGGCUUUUGAGAGUGGGAACGUUGAAGGUUUUCAGCAGAGGAGACACAUAAGAUUGUCUGCUGCACUGAAAACAGACAUAUGGGAAGGAAACAGGUAAAAGCAGAAAACAAGAGAAAAAUGAGGAACCUACUGUAACAAACGAGGUGAAAGAUGAAGAUGGUUUGGUCCAUGGUGGUAACGGAGGCGGGUGAAGAGAAACAGUCCGAUUCUGGAUAUAUUUUGAAGGUAUAACUGACACCAUUUAUUGACAGGUUGGUUUGCGGACAUUCUGAUGACUUAAUGCUUCUGACAUAUAGAAUUAGCAUAUAUAACAUAAUGUGUUUUCUAAGAAUCAAAAGGCAGAAAUAUAUGUAUUCUCAACAGUGGUGGUAGUAGAAACCCUCUUGCAUUAAUACAGAGCUUUAGCAUUAACACUAUCUGACAGAUGUAAUGAUGUAUGUCAUCAUUACUGUGUUGAAGUCAUUUAAACCAUGUUUUCAGUGGGGGCACCUGGCUGACUCAGUCGGGUAGACAAAGCGAUUCUUGAUCUCAGGGUUGCAAGUUCGAGGCCCACGUUGGGUGUAAAGAUUACUUAAAAACCUUAAAAAAAUUUUUUUCAGUACUAUGUGUAGGACAUGGUAAUUUGAUAACAUCACCAAAAAUUCACAUAGCACUAGAGUUUACAAAGCACUCUAACAACCAUUAUUUAAAAUCACAACCACUUCAAGAGAACGGUAAUUCCCUGUUUUACAGAUAUGGAAACUGAAAUCUAGAAACAUAAGUGACUUGCCUCGGGUCAGCUCCUGGAGAGCCAGCCUUGAACAUGGCCCCAGAUCCUUUAACUCACAGAUGAAAGUGCUGUACCACAGCUACACUACAAGGUGGCAUUCUACCAUCUCCCAGGUUUCACUUUUAUUUCUUAGUCGUGAAAUAUUAUCUACAUCUGUAUCUUAAACGCUAAGUCCAUAUGCUGUGGACAGAAUUGUUUCCCUCAGCCCCUCACUCCACAAAUUCUUAUGUUGCAGUCCUAACCCCCAAUGUGACUGUAUUAGGAGGUAAUUAAGGUUAAAUCAUAAAGGCAAGCCCUAAGCCCAUAGGACCGGUGGGCUUAUAAGAGGAAGACAAAGAUAUUUCAUUUUCUACACGUACACACACCUGAACAUACACUGAGAUGGUGGCUAUGUACAUGCCAAGAGAAAAGGCCUCAGAAUGAAAUCUACCUUGCUGGCACCUUGACCUUGGCCUUCCCAGCCUGAGAAAUCUGAGAAAUUGUGUUGUUUAAGCCAUCCAGUCAAUGGUAUUUUGUUUUGGCAGCCUGAGUAGAUUAAUACACCCUAUUAUGGAAAAGAAGGGUGGUUUAAUCUAGAACAGUCUUAAUGUUGGCCAAUUUAACAUACACACAAAACCCCAAAGAACGUUCAAUCCCAACUUCACUUUCAGGCCAUGUAAUCUAAACCAAAGUCCACAAGCCAGCAGAGAUUAGUCGUUUUAUACCCUAUUUAGCUGGCCCCUCAACUCCAUUCACAGCCAUGGAGUCAUACUCCUAGACUCUGGGGGAGGAACAUGUGCCAAUGCCACGUUCACCAGUGAAUCUCCUACAAUCUCCUUCAUACCUUCAAUACCUGCAUUGUCCAAUCAAGUAGCCACUAGUCAUAUACAGAGAGUAAGUAUUUGAUAUAUGGCUACUCUGAAUUGAGAUGUGCUGUAAGAAUAAAAAAUACACUGGAUUUCAAAGACUUAAUACGAAAAAAAGAAUGUAAAAUAUAUUAAUAAUUAUUAACAGCUGAAUAUUAUUUUGGAUAUAGGGGGUUAAAUAAAACAUUACAAAAAUUAAUUUCACGUUUCUUUUUACUGUUUUUAAUGUGCUGCUAGAUAAUUUCGAAUUACAUACAUGGCUUGCAUUUGUACUUUGCAUUGUCUUUCUAUUGCUUCUCCAUACAGUCCCUUAGUCCUUUUU